CCUACGGGAGGCAGCAGUGGGGAAUCUUGCGCAAUGGGCGAAAGCCUGACGCAGCAACGCCGCGUGCGGGAUGAAGGCCUUCGGGCUGUAAACCGCUUUCAGCAGGAACGAAAAUGACGGUACCUGCAGAAGAAGGAGCGGCCAACUACGUGCCAGCAGCCGCGGUGACACGUAGGCUCCAAGCGUUGUCCGGAUUUAUUGGGCGUAAAGAGCUCGUAGGCGGUUGAGUAAGUCGGGUGUGAAAACUCUGGGCUUAACCCGGAGACGCCAUCCGAUACUGCUCUGACUAGAGUUCAGGAGGGGAGUGGGGAAUUCCUAGUGUAGCGGUGAAAUGCGCAGAUAUUAGGAGGAACACCGGUGGCGAAGGCGCCACUCUGGACUGAAACUGACGCUGAGGAGCGAAAGCAUGGGUAGCAAACAGGAUUAGAUACCCUGGUAGUCCAUGCCGUAAACGGUGGGCACUAGGUGUGGGUUCCAACUAACGGGAUCCGCGCCGUCGCUAACGCAUUAAGUGCCCCGCCUGGGGAGUACGGUCGCAAGACUAAAACUCAAAGGAAUUGACGG
rnacentral:rRNA from 2 species